UACGGAGGGUGCGAGCGUUGUCCGGAAUUACUGGGCGUAAAGGGCGCGUAGGCGGCCUGCUAAGUCGAACGUGAAAUCCCCGAGCUCAACUCGGGAACUGCGUCCGAUACUGGCAGGCUUGAAUCCGGGAGAGGGAUGCGGAAUUCCAGGUGUAGCGGUGAAAUGCGUAGAUAUCUGGAGGAACACCGGUGGCGAAGGCGGCAUCCUGGACCGGCAUUGACGCUGAGGCGCGAAAGCCAGGGGAGCAAACGGG
rnacentral:rRNA from 1 species